rnacentral:rRNA from 1 species
UACGGAGGAUCCAAGCGUUAUCCGGAAUUACUGGGCGUAAAGGGAGCGUAGGCGGCGUGGUAAGUCAGAUGUGAAAUCCCGGGGCUCAACCCCGGAACUGCAUCCGAUACUGCCAUGCUAGAGGAUUGGAGAGGUAGCUGGAAUACUUGGUGUAGCAGUGAAAUGCGUAGAUAUCAAGUGGAACACCAGUGGCGAAGGCGAGUCUCUGGACAUUUCCUGACGCUGAGGCACGAAAGCCAGGGGAGCAAACGGG